GAUGUACGCUAGCGACAGGCUUAACACAUGCAAGUCGAGGGGCAGCGAGGGCGUAGCAAUACGCCUGUCGGCGACCGGCGCACUGGUGAGUAACACGUAUGCGACCUGCCCCCUACAGGGGUAUAACCCGUAGAAAUGCGGACUAAUCCCCCCAUAGUCCUGGGUGCUGCAUGGCAUUCAGGGGAAAGGGUUUCCGGUAGGGGAUGGGCAUGCGGCGCAUUAGCUUGUUGGCGGGGUAACGGCCCACCAAGGCGACGAUCAGUAGGGGUUCUGAGAGGAAGGUCCCCCACAUUGGAACUGAGACACGGUCCAAACUCCUACGGGAGGCAGCAGUGAGGAAUAUUGGUCAAUGGGCGCAAGCCUGAACCAGCCAAGUAGCGUGAGGGAAGACUGCCCUACGGGUUGUAAACCUCUUUUGUUUGGGAAUAAAGUGCGGGACGUGUCCCGCAUUGCAUGUACCAUUUGAAUAAGGACCGGCUAAUUCCGUG
rnacentral:rRNA from 1 species